CAUCAUGAUAAUCUUCUACGGAUCGCAGUGGCCGUUGCGGCCGGCGAUGGUUCAUUCAAAUUUCUUCCCUAUCAACUUUCGAUGUUUGGGUAUUGGCCAAACAUGGUUGCAACGGGUAACGGAGGGUUAGGGCUCGACCCCGGAGAAGGAGCCUGAGAAACGGCUACUACAUCCAAGGAAGGCAGCAGGCGCGCAAAUUACCCAAUCCCGACUCGGGGAGGUAGUGACAAUAAAUACUGAUACAGGGCUCUUUUGGGUCUUGUAAUUGGAAUGAGUACAAUUUAAAUCCCUUAACGAGGAACAAUUGGAGGGCAAGUCUGGUGCCAGCAGCCGCGGUAAUUCCAGCUCCAAUAGCGUAUAUUAAAGUUGUUGUGGUUAAAAAGCUCGUAGUUGAACCUUGGGCCUGGCUGGCCGGUCCGCCUCACCGCGUGUACUGGUCCGGCCGGGCCUUUCCCUCUGUGGAACCCCAUGCCCUUCACUGGGUGUGGCGGGGAACCAGACCUUUUACA
rnacentral:rRNA from 1 species